UGUGCGUGUGUGUAUCUCAGUUCAGGCUGUUGAAUAUUGUGUCGUGGAGAGGAUAAACACAGUUACUCAGAUCUUACGAAUUGUGGGUUUCAUCUGUAAUUGGUGAUACAGUUGUGUAUAGUUCAAAAAACUAGUGUUGAUGACAAGUUUGGGGAUGAGAUUGUUGAGAACUGGACGGUUAAGAUGAAUCUUCAAAAGGGAAAAGGCAAACCCAAAAUGAGUGGAAGUAGUAGAAGAGAUGCAACAAAGCCAUGGAUCAUGAGGUACCUGGUUCAGUGGGAACCAGUGCCAGCUUCUCUUUGAGAUUGGGUCAGGCUAUUUUUUCCUCUGCUUCACUUCUCUUCAUGUCUUUGGGGGUUGAGUUCUACAACUACACUGCUUUCUGGUUCGGGUAUGAGCCUAUUUUGAGGCUGCUACAGGCUAUCUUCAUCUGCUAUUUACUCAUCAAUCUGUGGUGCCUUUGGUGGUAAUAGGGGAGUCAGUCCAGUUCCUUCAGAGAAAGGUGUCUUCCCUUUGGAUCAUAUGCAUUUGUGUGACCAGGCAGAAAGGGAAUACCUCAAUUGUCUGAAAACUUCGGGCCACCAAUCUAAAAAAUGUAGACACUUCUCAAAAUUGUACCUGAAGUGCCGCAUGGAAAAUUACGCUGUUCACAAUCAUGAUGCUAGUAAUUUAUGGACUAACAAGCGUUUACUAUGGAAUCAUGAUUUUGGCAUAACAUGCCUGGGAAAAGUGAAUAUAAACUAUGAGAAUGAUCUGGAUACGAUGAGCAACAUGCAAGCACCAGGUCUGGCAUGUGUGCCCCGCGCUGAACUAUUGAUCUAUAUGCAGCUGGAACUACAGAAAGAGAGCCAAAAGCUCCUACACAAGCUUCCAAAGCUAGACUCCAAUGAGGCCAUGAGAGCAGUAAAGCUUGCAAAGCUAGACUCCUUAAGUAAAUUUGUGGAUGUAUAUUGCUAGGAAAGUAGUAUUAUAUGUACUCCUUUUGUGGAUGAAAGGUUGCCUUUGCACAAUCUAUUUUGGUGCAUGAUGUGGAUUAUAUAUAACAAUUUCUUCUAUAUAUUGAUCAACUAUUGUUAAUUUGAUCAUUUUUAUUUCA